UACGAAGGGGGCUAGCGUUGCUCGGAUUUACUGGGCGUAAAGGGCGCGUAGGCGGACAGUUAAGUUGGGGGUGAAAGCCCGGGGCUCAACCUCGGAAUUGCCUUCAAUACUGGCUGUCUUGAGUGUGAGAGAGGUGUGUGGAACUCCGAGUGUAGAGGUGAAAUUCGUAGAUAUUCGGAAGAACACCAGUGGCGAAGACGACACACUGGCUCACUACUGACGCUGAGGCGCGAAAGCCAGGGGAGCAAACGGG
rnacentral:rRNA from 1 species